rnacentral:rRNA from 1 species
AACGAACGCUGGCGGCAUGCCUAACACAUGCAAGUCGAACGAGACCUUCGGGUCUAGUGGCGCACGGGUGCGUAACGCGUGGGAACCUGCCCUUAGGUUCGGAAUAACUCCCCGAAAGGGGUGCUAAUACCGGAUAAUGUCUUCGGACCAAAGAUUUAACGCCUUAGGAUGGGCCCGCGUUGGAUUAGCUAGUUGGUAGGGUAAAAGCCUACCAAGGCGACGAUCCAUAGCUGGUCUGAGGAAGAUCAGCCACACGGGGACUGGGACACGGCCCGGACUCCGACAGAAGGCAGGAAGUGGGAAUAAUAUGAAAAGGGCGAUAGCGUUAACCAGCAGUGCGCCGAUGAUCAUGAAGGCCUUAGGGAUGUAAAUCGCGAGUACCCGCGAUGAUAUUGACAGUGCUAGAAGAAUAAGCACCGGCUAACGCCGUG